GUAAUCAUCCCUGAGCCCAAGAAAUUAAGCGCUGCAUUUCAACAGAGAACUUAACGGGAAGAGAAGUAUUUUGAGCCCAGGUUUAAUGGACAACCUGGUUUAAUACAACUGUGGAAGAAUAACAAACAAAUGAACAAAAAAGAUGAAAUUUCCCAGGGUCUAUAUUAUCUGUUUGAAGAAUACCAACCUUUUAGACAGGAAAUACUAAUAACCAUGGGUCCCAGAACUCUAUUCUGUGGUGGGAAGAACAGUGAAAUGAGUCGGGAGACCUGGCUUCCAAUUUUAACUCUUGACUUUUUAACUAGCUGUGUGAUUUCAGGUUUUUUUGGGAGGUGUUUUCAAUGAAUUCCUUGGUGCCUGGAGGCAAGUUUACUGGGAAGAUAUGUGCAGUUUUAUAAAUGAAGAUAUCAAUAAAUAGAAAACUUGAGAAGAAGAGGUCAAGUACCUUACCCUGUAAUGUCAUUUGCUUCUGGAACCAACCAUGAAGAUUUGCUCAUCUCAUAGCUGAAGGAUGUUGAAACACAUUUCUUGCCAAUAUGGCUUCAUCUGGAGUGUGGAUGGGCUCUUCAUUCUGACACAUUGCAUAAAUGGCAAACGUAGAUGCUAAAUACUACUGAUGAUUAGCCAUACAAAAAUGCUUUUUACUCUCAUUCUUGACAGGAAUGACAAUCCUUUGGCCAGACUCACCUCCUUCUGGACACCAAGGGCUGUUUCAUUCUUGGUUUUGCCAUCUGGUUUCAGUAAAAGCCAGAAAUGAUAAGAGAAAAGGGAUUCUUAAAGAGGCAGCAAAUAGAAAGGUUCUUUUGGUUGUAUAUGACCACUUUAAUAAUUCAGGAAACUUGUUCUUUCAUGGAUAAAGUCAAAUCAACAAAUAUGUAUUAGGCUUAUACUUUGUAUAGGUUGAUAUACUAGGCCCUGGAGGACAGACAAAGUUUAGAUAAGGUACUUCUCAAGGAGUAUAUGGU